rnacentral:rRNA from 1 species
AGCCGCGGUAAUACGAAGGGUGCAAGCGUUACUCGGAAUUAUUGGGCGUAAAGCGAGCGUAGGUGGCUCAUUAAGUUUGGACUUAAAGACCGGGGCUCAACUCCGGGAGUGGUUCGAAUACUGGUGAGCUAGAGGCUGUUAGAGGAAAGUGGAAUUCCGAGUGUAGCGGUGAAAUGCGUAGAUAUUCGGAGGAACACCGGUGGCGAAAGCGACUUUCUGGGGCAGUCCUGACACUGAGGCUCGAAAGCUCGGGGAGCAAACA